GACGAACGCUGGCGGCGUGCUUAACACAUGCAAGUCGUACGGUAAGGCCCUUUCGGGGGUACACGAGUGGCGAACGGGUGAGUAACACGUGCGUAACCUGCCCACAACUUUGGGAUAACGCUAGGAAACUGGUGCUGAUACUGGCUAUGUGCUCCUGCUGCAUGGUGGGGGUUGGUAAGCUCCGGCGGGUGUGGAUGGACUCGCGGCCUAUCAGCUUGUUGGUGGGGUAGUGGCCUACCAAGGCGGCGACGGGUAGCCGGCCUGAGAGGGUGACCGGCCAAAUUGGGACUGAGAUACGGCCCAGACUCCUACGGGGGGCAGGAGUGGGGAAUAUUGGAAAAUGGGCGCGAGCCUGAUGCAGCAACGCCGCGGGCGGGAUGACGGCCUUCGGGUUGUAAACCGCUUUCAGCAGGGACGAAGCUUUUUGUGACGGUACCUGCAGAAGAAGCACCGGCUAACUACGUG
rnacentral:rRNA from 1 species